rnacentral:misc_RNA from 1 species
GAUGAAGGAACGUAGCGAAAUGCGAUACUUGGUGUGAAUUGCAGAAUCCCGUGAACCAUCGAGUCUUUGAACGCAAGUUGCGCCCGAAGCCAUUAGGCCGAGGGCACGCCUGCCUGGGCGUCACACGUCGUUGCCCCCCCAUCUACUCCUUCGGGAUUGCGGGGGGCGGAUGAUGGCCUCCCGUGCGCCUCGUCGCGCGGUUGGCAUAAAUGCCAAGUCCUCGGCGACGCACGCCACGACAAUCGGUGGUUGCGAAACCUCGGUUGCCCGUCGUGUGCGGUCGUCGCGCAUCGAGGGCUCGAAAAAAUUGCCGGGCUCCGGCUCGGCUUUCAACGCGACCCCAGGUCAGGCGGGGUUACCCGCUGAAUUUAAGCAUAUCAAUAAGCGGAGGA